rnacentral:rRNA from 1 species
GACGAACGCUGGCGGCGUGCUUAACACAUGCAAGUCGAACGGGCCUUGUCCCCCUUUUUUUUGGGGGUGGGGUUAGUGGCGAACGGGUGAGUAACACGUGAGUAACCUGCCCCUCACUUCUGGAUAACCGCUUGAAAGGGUGGCUAAUACGGGGUGUUCUGGCCUGCUCGCAUGGGUGGGUUUGGAAAGAUUCGACCGGUUUUGGUUGUUUUGGUGGGGGAUGGGCUCGCGGCCUAUCAGCUUGUUGGUGGGGUGAUGGCCUGCCAAGGCUUUGACGGGUAGCCGGCCUGAGAGGGUGGGCGGUCACGCUGGGACUGAGACACGGCCCAGACUCCUACGGGAGGCAGCAGUGGGGAAUAUUGCACAAUGGGCGCAAGCCUGAUGCAGCGACGCCGCGUGAGGGAUGGAGGCCUUCGGGUUGUGAACCUCUUUCGCCAGUGAAGAAGGUCCUGCUCUUUGUGGUGGGGUUGACGGUAGCUGGGUUAAUGAAGCGCCGGCUAACUACGUG